GACGAACGCUGGCGGCGUGCUUAGCACAUGCAAGUCGAACGGUAAGGCCCUUCGGGGUACACGAGUGGCGAACGGGUGAGUAACACGUGGGCGAUCUGCCCCGCACUUCGGGAUAAGCCUGGGAAACUGGGUCUAAUACAGGAUAGGACUCCGGACUGCAUGGUCUGGGGUGGAAAGCUUUUGCGGUGUGGGAUGGGCCCGCGGCCUAUCAGCGUGUUGGUGGGGUGAUGGCCUACCAAGGCGACGACGGGUAGCCGGCCUGAGAGGUUGACCGGCCACACUGGGACUGAGAUACGGCCCAGACUCCUACGGGAGGCAGCAGUGGGGAAUAUUGCACAAUGGGCGCAAGCCUGAUGCAGCGACGCCGCAUGAGGGAUGACGGCCUUCGGGUUGUAAACCUCUUUCAGCAUCGACGAAGCGAAAGUGACGGUAGGUGCAGAAGAAGGACCGGCCAACUACGUGCCAGCCGCCGCCGUAA
rnacentral:rRNA from 1 species